UUCGUCUUCUUCGUCCGCAAAUUCAAUCCCCACCAAAAAGGGCAAAAACCCUCGAGCCCCAAAUCCACGGCGAGCGGCCGCCAUGCCCUCGCCUCCGCCGGAGCUUUCGAACGACCUCGUUGAGAGGAUCUUCCUCCGCCUCCCGCCAGAUGAACCGAGGAGCCUCUUCCGUGCCUCCCUCGUCAGCGAGUCCUUGCUCCGUCGCCUCUCUGGCGCCGCCUUCCGCCGCCGCUACUGCGAGCUCCACCGGACGCCGCUCGUGCUCGGCUUCCUCACCAGCCCACAGCCGGAGCAUAUUUCCUAAUCAAUACCCACUUCGUCCCAACGGUAAAGCUCUGUCCGCCCGGUCCUUGCCGCGGGUACCUGCAGGCAGUCGAGGCCCGCCACGGCCGCGUCCUCUUCCUGACGAAUCCUGAGGACGAGGACGUCCUCCCGGAAUUAAUCGUCUGGGACCCAGUCACGCUCCAAGAGUGGAUAAUUCAUUAUUCCGUUGCCCGCUCGAUGGGGCGGAAGCUGGUAUGCUGUGCUCUGUGCCCAGGAGGGGUGCGACCACCUUGACUGCCAUGGCCAUCCAUUUAUAGUGGCCUAUGUGUCUGUCGGAGUCGGAGACCAAGAGUUCAUGUGCUCUACCCAGUUUUACUCAUCGGAGACUGACUCCUUGAGCGACAAGACCUACGUUGACCAUGAUCGAGAGGACCUGACUCGUGACACCAACAUAGAUUAUAUUCCACCCAGCAUCCUUGUGGGAAACACACUCUAUUUUGACCGUUAUUAUUGCCCCGUAAUAAUACGGUAUGACUUGGCGGACCGGGAACUAUCGCUGAUCGAAAAGCCACAAGCGGAUGGCUGUUUGAGUGCCCAGAUGGUCGUGGAGAACGGCGUACUGGGAUUGGCCGCCAUAGUGGAGUCCAGCAUCUAUCUUUGGUCGAGGGAAGUAGAUGAGGAUGGAGCCGCGGCAUGGGUGCAGCCCAGAGUCAUCAAGCUCGAGACUCUGCUUCCCCCUCGCCCCCUGUCAACCAAACCCAUGAUGUGUGGUUUCGCUGAGAGAGUCGGUGUCGUUUUCUUAUGGACGGAAACCGGCAUCUUCACGGUUGAGCUCAAGUCAGGCCGAGCCGGCAGGAAUCUGUGCAACAAUGGUAACACCGGCGAUCCUAUCAUUCCUUGUUUUCUCAAACAUAGGGCUGUGCUCCAGCCAAUGCCUCUCAUUCCCUAUAUGAGCUUCUACACACCAGGGACAUGAAGCUGCUGCCUCCUGGACACUCUGAGAUUGGAGAAGAUUGAUGUACUUCGACCCCUGAGGAGAUUAUUCCGUGUAUGGCAAAAUUCGAGGUUAUGCAAUGGCUUCCCAACCAAGCCGGAAUUACAUGGGUAAUAGUGAUGCGCAAUAUGUGAGUUUGCUGCUGCGUUUUAGCCUUUUAGGUAAGCCUUCAGGCAUAAUUUGUGGAACCAUGUGGACUUGGGGUUUAUUUGCUCUACCUGUGGUUUGUUAGUAACGUGCAGGUGCUCGUUUAUAUCUUCUGCACAAUAUAUAUGCACUUAUUUAUUAUUGGUUCCCAUGUCUGUUGAUCUUGUUAAUUUGUAUUCCCUCUCAUCCUAAAUUGUUGACUCAAAUUUGCCCAAAUAUGGAUGUAUCUAUUCUUAAAAAGCGUGUAGAUACAUGUAAUAUUUUGACAACAAUUUAGGAUCGGAGGGAGUAGCAAAAUACUUUCCUUCACAUUCAGGAUCAUCAUUGCAUGGAACUUGAGGUUUAUGUUUCUGUGUAGUUUGGUUUAGUUUCUUAAACAAGC